GAUGAACGCUGGCGGCGUGCUUAACACAUGCAAGUCGAACGGAAAGGCCCAAGCUUGCUUGGGUACUCGAGUGGCGAACGGGUGAGUAACACGUGGGUGAUCUGCCCUGCACUUCGGGAUAAGCCUGGGAAACUGGGUCUAAUACCGGAUAGGACCACAUUUUGGAUGGUGUGGUGGAAAGUUUUUCGGUGUGGGAUGAGCUCGCGGCCUAUCAGCUUGUUGGUGGGGUAAUGGCCUACCAAGGCGUCGACGGGUAGCCGGCCUGAGAGGGUGUACGGCCACAUUGGGACUGAGAUACGGCCCAGACUCCUACGGGGGGCAGAAGUGGGGAAUAUUGCACAAUGGGCGCAAGCCUGAUGCAGAGACGCCGCGUGGGGGAGGACGGCCUUCGGGUUGUAAACUCCUUUCGCUAGGGACGAAGCGUUAUGUGACGGUACCUGGAGAAGAAGCACCGGCUAACUACGUG
rnacentral:rRNA from 1 species